UGGUAAGCAAAGCAUGUAUUAGUCAUCAUGAAAUAUGAGAAGUGAGUAUGAGAAAGACCACAUACCUGAAAAAAGUUAUUCACCUCCUCACCAAGUAAAGCCAUUUCAAAAUGGUAAAGAGUUCCAAUACAUUUGAUUUUCCCCCUAAUUAUUUAUAUAUAAAUUUAGCCAUUAAUUUAUUCCUUUUAGAAAUGAAUAUAUUUAUGAAAUGGUCGAAGUACUAAUUGAAGAUGAGAGAUGACAUGAUAAGAUGGUUUAUUUCUAUCAAAGACCUAAGCUAUAGAUGUAACAGAAAGAAUGAGUGAUGUGUUUAUGUUCGUAUUACUUAGUUUAGUCAGCGUAGUUUGGUCUUAUUAUCUGUAAUUAGGCUUUUACGUUUCAUUAAGGGUAGUUUAGUCUUUGCCUCUGUAAUUAGGUCCUUAGGAUUUUGGCUUUUACCUAUUUAUAUUGUACUUUGCAGCUUUUGCAUUUUAUCAAUUCAAUACAUACGUAUUUUGCUCUCAAAAUUUUUUCUUGGUAUUAAAGCCAUACAGACGGCUGACCUAGCUUCUGAUGUAUGUCGUCUCGAGCAGUUGCGGGCCCUUUCAGCCCCUUUGCAAGCCUUUUCAGCCCCUUUGCAAGCCUUUGCUGGUGCCCACUCUCUCGUCUCGCAAUGGUCUCUCUCUCUUUGUCGCAGACCAUUGUUCGUGGUUCACUCUCUAAACCAUUCGAUCGAAACAGGUCCUCCAUCUCUCAUUGUCUCUCCCUCCGAUUUCCCUUUUGUUGCUUUACUUCGCUUCUGCUUCGCUAUUGUCUCUGUUCUUUGCAGUUCCUCAGGAAUCAACCCACCAUCAUCCUCAUAGGACAUUGCAGCCCAUUCGUAGAUCUCUGCAGAUGCUGUCUCUCUUGUCGCAGGUCAUUGUCGUUGUUCUCUUUCUCCCUCAUCGCUGCUCUAGUUGCAAUCGCACCUUCAUCUGGUGCCCUGAAGCUGUUCGCGAUCUUCAUCUGGUGCUUAUAGUUGUUCACAACCCCCUAUUAAGGUUGUGCGUGACGUCUUGCUACCUUCGUGACAUCUCCGGUGUGUACCUUCUAUGCAUGCAAAAUGCUUUGGCGGCGAUUGGAGAUAAAGAACAAAUAUUGGUUCUCAAGUUUCUGCCUCUAAAGUAAACUAAGCAUUGGUUUUCUUCACUGGACCACAAGCAACUUAAAUUAUGCGCUAAGCUGGCCUUAGUUACUAUGCAAGGACUAAGGGUUUGACGGCAAUAGGAAAGCCAAGACAUUGUGGUCUUACAUUGUUUUUGCAAUUUUUUGAACCAUUUAAUUGGAAAGAAAUGCAUGAGUUUUUUAUGACAAGGAGUUAGAUGUGGAAUCUUCAUGGGAUAAGACGAGUUACUUGGCUUUGUUUUGGGCUUUUGUGUCUCCUCUAUUUAAAGGAGUUCUAUUUUUUUAUUUUUUAUUUUUUUUAUUUCUAGGAAUUGGAUUGUUGUUUGCUAUUCUUAGUUUUUGGAAUGUUUUCCAAGUUGCACUGUUGAUUUUUGUUUAGUUUUCUUUUUCAUUGUAUGAGGACUCCUUGUCCUCUCUUUGUUUCAUGCAUGUUUCUUAAUAAAACUUUCUUUGUUGUUGCUCAAAAAAAUAAAAGAAUAAAUUACACUAACCUCCCAUGAGGUUUCUGAAAUGACACUGAUCUCUCUUAUCAGUGUUGUUGGACACACUGAGGUAACAUAAAGUUGUCUUUUACAAUUUUUCCUUCUAUGUUUCUUAGAUUUCCGUUACAACACCCAAGUCCACUCACUCCUAACAUAAAACCAAACCACACCCAAUCUCAUCUCCUUCAAUAUCUUAGAUUCCUAACAUUAUCCCUAAAUACAGACUAUACAAUAUCUGAAUGGAUGAUGGUUAAAGGCAAUAGAUGGUAGUUGGGUUGGUGGUUUGAGGCAGAGAAGAACCACUGGAGGUAGUCGGGGACUAUGGUAGUGGGGGUAUGCUAUUGUGAGAAUGAGAGAGACAGUUUCCAUAAGGGUGGGACUAUGGUGGAGGGAUGAUGGUUAGAGGUGGUAGAUGGUGGAUGGACUAGUGGCUUGAAGUGGUAGAAGGCCCAAGGUUGGUGGAUUUAGGUGGAGAGGUACCAUUGGAGGUGGUCGUGGUCUAUGGUGGUGGCGGUUUGCAAUUAAAAGGAGAAAGACAGUGGCCAUGUGCGAUUCUUGUGGGUGACGUUAGAGGGUGUGUGAUGCCUUGUUGGUAGCGAUGUAAGGCACACUAAUGGUAAACUGUUUCCUACUUUAACGUCAUUGAUAGUAAUAAUGAGAGCACUAUACUUACUGUAUGGAAUGUGAGUGUGACUAUAUCUUCCAUGUACGUACUUGUUGCUUUUGUAUAUUGUGCCAAAGUUGUCUCACCUGUUUCUUAGGGUAAUUGAUUUUCCUUUUUUCUAUAAUGUGCAAGCUUAUGGGGUUUUUAAGUUUUUCGUUAAUUCAUGAUCAUAUUCUUGA